CGAGUUAGGGUCUUCUCAGGCCCGACCUCCCAACCCUUUGUUUACCCGACCCAUGUUGCUUCGGCGGGCCCGCCGUUUCGACGGCCGCCGGAGGACCGCCUAUUCAGGUCCUCUGGCCCGCGCCCGC
rnacentral:misc_RNA from 1 species